rnacentral:rRNA from 1 species
UACGUAGGGUGCAAGCGUUAAUCGGAAUUAUUGGGCGUAAAGAGCUCGUAGGCGGUCUGUCGCGUCGAUCGUGAAAACUUGGGGCUUAACCCUGAGCUUGCGGUCGAUACGGGCAUGACUGGAGUUCGGCAGGGGAGACUGGAAUUCCAGGUGUAGCGGUGAAAUGCGUAGAGAUCCGGAGGAACACCAGCGGCGAAGGCGGCAUCCUGGACUGGUCCUGACACUCAGGAGCGAAAGCGUGGGGAGCGAUCCGG